rnacentral:rRNA from 1 species
CCUACGGGUGGCAGCAGUCGAGAAUCAUUCACAAUGGGGGAAACCCUGAUGGUGCGACGCCGCGUGGGGGAAUGAAGGUCUUCGGAUUGUAAACCCCUGUCAUGUGGGAGCAAAUUAAAAAGAUAGUACCACAAGAGGAAGAGACGGCUAACCCUGUGCCAGCAGGCGCGGUAAUACAGAGGUCUCAAGCGUUGUUCGGAAUCACUGGGCGUAAAGCGUGCGUAGGCUGUUUCGUAAGUCGCGUGUGAAAGGCGCGGGCUCAACCCGCGGACGGCACAUGAUACUGCGAGACUAGAGUAAUGGAGGGGGAACCGGAAUUCUCGGUGUAGCGGUGAAAUGCGGAGAGAUCGAGAGGAACACUCGUGGCGAAGGCGGGUUCCUGGACAUUAACUGACGCUGAGGCACGAAGGCCAGGGGAGCGAAAAGGAUUAGAUACCCCAGUAGUC